AAACCAAAAUCGAAACCAAGUCUCCUUCUCCCUAUCCGAGGGAAGAGGCAAUAAGUCCAGAUCUUCAAUCGUCACGAGACUGGGCACGUCACAUUUCUUCCACUCUUCUAUUUCCUUUGGCAUAUGUGUUGUAACUACAAACGGGUGAUUGUUGGUCUGAUCGUGAAGGCCAAUUUUGAUAACGGGUGAUUGUUGGUUGGUUAUGGUGGAAAAUUCUACCAUAUUGAGUUGUGGGGUUGAUCAACCCGACCACAAGCCCUCUAUCCUGAUCACUACAAACACAAAGAUGAACAAGAGCCCUGAGAUUCCCUGCAUAUCAUCAUUAUACCGUACUUUCCAUGUCGUUGAAAUAACUGAGAAAGGUUAAAAUUAGUUGUCACAGUACUUCUAAUAAUAAAAAGUUAUGUAGGUUCUAUGUUUAAAUUUGUAAUCAAAUACUCUCAAAAUCAGGAAUGUAAUCACGAGGAAUAGUUGAUUUGAUUUCAAAUAUUUGAUUAUC